UACGGAGGAUGCGAGCGUUAUCCGGAUUUAUUGGGUUUAAAGGGUGCGUAGGCGGAAUGUUAAGUCAGCGGUCAAAUAAUGGGGCUCAACCCCGUUUCGCCGUUGAAACUGGCAUUCUUGAGUGGGCGAGAAGUAUGCGGAAUGCGUGGUGUAGCGGUGAAAUGCAUAGAUAUCACGCAGAACUCCGAUUGCGAAGGCAGCAUACCGGCGCCCGACUGACGCUGAGGCACGAAAGCGUGGGGAUCGAACAGG
rnacentral:rRNA from 1 species